UCCCAACUACAAGUCAUAGAGGGAGAAUGAAGUGUCAUAUCCCCAAAUGCACUAAAGACAUACUGUAAUUUAAAGAUGCCUAACUGAUAAACAUGAAAGCUCAAAAUAACAAACUUUCUUCAUAAGAGACUGUCUAUGAGGUAUACGGUUGAUCCUCAUCAAAUACCACUGACUUUAAGCCAAUUCAAAUACAUGUGUCCUACAUCUAUUUGAAGUUGGAAGGGGGAUUUAUGUCAGAGUAUAUGAAUAUUAUGAUGAAUAUUACAUAUGUGUACAUAUAUAUAUAUAUAUGUAUAUAUGUAUAUUUUAUACACUGUAUAUGUUAGAUGAGAACUCAGGAUUAAUUAAACAUGAGUUUGUUGAACACAGCUUCUAAUACACGUCUAUCAGGAUUGACGAUCAGUAGAGCCUUUUUGAAACACAAACAUUUCUUUUCUAAAGGAAAUAGCUCAGUGACCCUAUUCAUUUGACUAUAUAUGCAGAUUUUUAUAACCUCAGAACAUUUGGUGAGGUGAGAAAAGAAUGUGUUCAAGGACCCCUUUGGAAUUUGACACGUGUGAUACAACAGUUCUAUCUCACUGAAUCUCUAUUUGAAGACUUACUGCAAAAACCCCUCUUGGGGGAAGGUGACACAAAUAAAAUCAAAUACUCAUCUGCACUGCUGGCUAAACAGGAAAUAUGCUGUUUUAAAGACUCUUACAACUCCUCAUGGAUUGACCCCAUGUGAUCUACAUAGACAGGAUUCACUUGGAAUACAAUACAAUACUGGAUUAAAAAUAAGCUAUUAUUCACAUAUAAAUGCCAGGAUACCGAUAAAAUUGUAAUGCAUUUUAAGCUAAUAAUUAGCAGUAUUAAAUUGCCUUGAUAUAAUAAAAUGUUAAUAAUAUAACAUAUUUGGUAUCAGAAUAAUCAGAAAAAAUAACCUAAUAUUAACCAUCUGUAAUUGGGGUUAUAUAUGAUUAAUGCAGAGAGUGUAAUCUGAUUAAAUAACCAUUUUAUAAAAAAAAAAUUAACUUGCUUAAAAAUGUCAGAAAUGCUGUAUUGUAUUGCUAUGUUGUACUGUAUGCUGCCACCUGGUGUUAUGUUGCGAGAACUACAGCCAGAAGGUUCUUUCUGGCUGUUAAAAAUGAAAUUUCCAAGGGCCAAUCCGAUUUAGACUUCCCAGAUAACCAAUGGGAAGGUCAGCUCCCGUAGUGCCACCCACAUGAUGUCAUCAAUGAUUAUAUAAUGGGAGUGUUGAAUGCACAAGAGAGAGUUGUCUGUAACUUGUUGAAAAUUAGUGAUCUGAUUUUGGCUGCGAUAUACCUAAAAAAAAAAAAAGUUCACUUCAGCAAGGAGCUUAAAACUUAUCCUUGAUUUGUGCAAAAACCUUCUUUCAAAUGAGAUGACCUAAAGACCGCUACAAAUUGGAUCCGUUGCAAAACAUUGGGAACCGGAUUGCUGUUUAUUUGGGUGAUGUAUACAAGGGUUUUGUAAGAUAAGUUAUAUGCAUAGUCAAUUUGUAUUUAAUAGAUUUAAAGAAAUAGUGUGUUUUAAUUAGCAUUUCACAGCCUAUAUAUAUAUUGUUUAAAUCUGCGUCUGAUUGACCAAGUAACUCAUCUAUGCAAGUUCUGAUAUUGUCAGUUAAUUUUGUAUUAGGAUAAAUUGCAGUUAAAUAGCAGAAUAUAUAUUAUCCUAUUGUUUUAUAAACACUGUUUAGAAUUGUAUUGCUUGGAUGUUAAAGGUUUUUAGUCCCAUUGUGUUAAAUAAAUAAAAGGCUGAAUUGUGAAGGUA